rnacentral:lncRNA from 1 species
CUAUUUCUGCGUAUACUGAGAACUAAAAUGUCGGGGUCAGGGGCUGAAUUGAUGAUGAGCGCUGCUGAAGCAACCUGGGGGAUGCUCAUACUUGCCACCAUCAUCAUCAUCGUUGUUUGUUUCUUCUGCCUUCUGCCUGUAUAUAAAGCCCUGCAGGCUCGCUAUACACACUGGGAGGACCCAGAGAACGAUCCAAGAUGGAAUGUAAGU